UGAGGAAUAUUGGUCAAUGGGCGCAAGCCUGAACCAGCCAUCCCGCGUGCAGGAAGAAGGCGCUAUGCGUUGUAAACUGCUUUUCCAGGGGGCGAACGUUUCGUACGUGUACGGGAGUGACGGUACCUUGGGAAUAAGCAUCGGCUAACUCCGUGCCAGCAGCCGCGGUAAUACGGAGGAUGCGAGCGUUAUCCGGAUUUAUUGGGUUUAAAGGGUGCGUAGGCGGAUUAAUAAGUCAGUGGUGAAAACCUGCAGCUUAACUGUGGAAUUGCCGUUGAUACUGUUAGUCUUGAGUAUGGUCAAGGUAGGCGGAAUGUGUAAUGUAGCGGUGAAAUGCUUAGAUAUUACACAGAACACCGAUUGCGAAGGCAGCUUACUGGGCCGUUACUGACGCUGAUGCACGAAAGCGUGGGGAUCGAACAG
rnacentral:rRNA from 1 species